AGAAUCAAUAGACAAACACACAAAAAAACACCUUACGGAAAACUUCAGAUACUGGGCCAUCACUUUCAGAAGCAGCAAGCUCCUGGUUUACUUUUUCUAGUCCCUUGGUAAUUGCCUGCAUUUCUUCUGCUAAUGACUUCAAUUGUAUCUGCAAGAUUAGAAAUAAACAAACAAUAUUUAUUGCAAUUCCAUGAACUAAUACUAAUAGUUGGUCAGGUAUCAACAGCAAUUUCUUUUGGCUAACAAUGCAAAUCUCCAUUUACUAUAGAUAGUGUUUAAUAAGAGCUUACAAAGCUUCCUCAACUUACAGGUCAGUUUUGUGAUGGGGAGAUUGUAGUAAACUACAAUGUGGAGCUAUGAAAGUCUCACAAUGGUUGACAAUGGGCUGAGUAAAGACAAUAUAAGUAUGAAGAAUCAUGUACCAAAGAUAGGUCCAACCCAAAUUCUAAGAUGGUAAUAGAGACUAUCUUAGAUACAUUCAACGUUAUCGAUGGCAGAUGGCAGACCAUGGCGGAAAUCCAAAAAUCCGACAUACCAGCAGACAUAUGAUGCCGCCAUACUCGUGUAUGGUACCGCGCGCCGCCAUCCUUCACAAAUCAGCCAUAUCAGUUUUCCAAAUAUCCACCAUGGCCGAUACUAGACAACACUAGAUCCAUUCCAUUGGGGAGGAAUCCAAUAUCACGUCACUUUAUUACACUCUAAAUGUUCAGUCCUAAGCAUUAGGCGGUGUUGAGAGUCUUAUACAAGAUAGUGAUAUGGCCUAAUAGUGGUUAUAGACAUCCCUCACCUUACAAGUCCGCUUUGUGGGAUUGUGUUAAGA
rnacentral:lncRNA from 1 species